CCUACGGGUGGCAGCAGUGGGGAAUAUUGCACAAUGGGGGAAACCCUGAUGCAGCGACGCCGCGUGAGUGAAGAAGUAUUUCGGUAUGUAAAGCUCUAUCAGCAGGAACGAGACAAGACGGUACCUGACCCAGAAGCAUCGGCUAACUACGCGCCAGCAGCCGCGGUAAUACGUAGGGGGCAAGCGUUAUCCGGAAUCACUGGGGGUAAAGGGAGCGUAGACGGCUGUGCAAGCCUGAAGUGAAAGGCGGGGGCCCAACCCCUGGACUGCUUUGGGAACUGUACGGCUGGAGUGCAGGAGAGGUAAGUGGAAUUCCUGGUGUAGCGGUGAAAUGCGUAGAUAUUAGGAGGAACACCAGUGGCGAAGGCGGCUUACUGGACUGUAACUGACGUUGAGGCUCGAAAGCGUGGGGAGCAAACAGGAUUAGAUACCCGGGUAGUC
rnacentral:rRNA from 1 species